rnacentral:rRNA from 1 species
GACGAACGCUGGCGGCGUGCCUAAUACAUGCAAGUCGAGCGCAGGAAGCCGUCUGAACCCUUCGGGGGGACGACGGUGGAAUGAGCGGCGGACGGGUGAGUAACACGUAAAGAACCUGCCCAUAGGUCUGGGAUAACCACGAGAAAUCGGGGCUAAUACCGGAUGUGUCAUCGGACCGCAUGGUCCGCUGAUGAAAGGCGCUCCGGCGUCGCCCAUGGAUGGCUUUGCGGUGCAUUAGCUAGUUGGUGGGGUAACGGCCCACCAAGGCGACGAUGCAUAGCCAACCUGAGAGGGUGAGCGGCCACACGGGGACUGAGACACGGCCCAGACUCCUACGGGAGGCAGCAGUAGGGAAUCGUCCACAAUGGACGAAAGUCUGAUGGAGCAACGCCGCGUGAACGAUGAAGGCUUUCGGGUCGUAAAGUUCUGUUGUAAGGGAAGAACAAGUGCCGCAGGCAAUGGCGGCACCUUGACGGUACCUUGCGAGAAAGCCACGGCUAACUACGUGCCAGCCGCCGCCGUAA